UCUAAUAUGGCAGAUUAGUGCAUUGAAUUUAAACCUCAAUUAUAAGAAAUUUAUCUUUUUUAGAA
rnacentral:tRNA from 1 species